rnacentral:rRNA from 1 species
UACGGGGGGGGCAAGCGUUGUUCGGAAUUACUGGGCGUAAAGGGCUCGUAGGUGGCCAACUAAGUCGGACGUGAAAUCCCUCAGCUUAACUGGGGAACUGCGUCCGAUACUGGAUGGCUUGAGUUUGGGAGAGGGAUGCAGAAUUCCAGGUGUAGCGGUGAAAUGCGUAGAUAUCUGGAGGAACACCGGUGGCGAAGGCGGCAUCCUGGACCAACACUGACACUGAGGAGCGAAAGCCAGGGGAGCAAACGGG